UGCCUACUGUACUGGAAUCAGU
rnacentral:miRNA from 1 species